GAAAACCUGGGAGAAAACCUAGGAGAAAACCUGGCAGGCAAGGCGGGAGAUCGGGUGGAGUACAGAGGAUCACCGAAGUGGAUCUACACUAUGUCUGGACAUGACAGAGAUAACGAGGCGGUAAAGAAUAGGAAAUGCAACGCUGCAACUAUGAACAUUUCGAUUCUAAUUCCUGCAGCUCAGCCUGCUGACGCUGGGAAGUACAUCUGUUAACGCAGGAGACAAAGGAGCGAACACUUUGGCUAUACUUACAGUUGCUUUUUCAGACAAUAAAGACUCCCAGUCAAACAAUGUGACAGGCCGUCCCGGCUACAAUCAAGUUAUCAACUGCCUUUUUAGCACCGAAACAAGCACUACAGAUCUCUACUCUGAAGGUAUAGCCUAAAACACCUGCGGCACAAUCGUCAUCGCCCUCAUUGGCGUUUGUAUUCUUUUUGCUGUUGCUUAAGAAACAUGUCAACAUUUUCAAUUUCAGUACUAUUAUUAGUACCACAGCGAUGUACUUCCUUAGCAUUAGAAAUAUGUUGUGUAAUCAUAUCAUCUACAUGCGUUUUACAUUCACCUUUUGUUGAUAUUUCUUUAAAACAAACAACAUUUACGAAGUGAUGUAAAGAGAAAAAAAGAUGUAUAAGUCUGUCCAUCAAUUUUGUUAUACAUCUUGUAAAAAAAAUGUAAUGCAAUCAAUUUAAGAGUAUGAAUAUACAAUCUUGUUUAAUAAUGUUUUAAAUGUUUAUAAUUGAAUGUACAUGUCUUUAUUCUGUAUCAAAAUAAACCUCUAACUAAUGGAAUAAUACUUUUUAUAUAAACAAAUUUUUUAUUUAUUUAAAUUAAAUUAUUAUUAUACAUUUGACAUAGAAAGUUAGAAAGAAGAGUCCUUUUGUGUCAGCAAGAACUUGGACAUUUAGAAAGAAUAAGCAGAAUAUAUUUAUCUUUUUUUUUUUUACAUUUUAGCUAAUAUGGACAAGCCAAGCUAUCGGCCUUAAAACGAAGAUCCACUAUUAAACACACAAUUGGAAAUAAGCUACAUUGGGCCCAUCAUCAAUGGCUAAGACCAAGUUUAGAAAUCAAUAACAGAGAUUGAGUCACAAACGUAGAAAUCGGCC